CAGCUGCUGAAUUGUUCCAUGCUUUGUUCUGAAGGCCAGGAAGACCCCCUUUGUGCUGUGCUGCCCCAGGAAGUCAGCCACAGGGACCCAAAGCCCUGGGAUCCGUGCUGCAAGUUAAGGCCCAGCACUGCUCCGUGCUCAGGAGGUGGUGACUUGCAGCACACCGUCCUCCUGUGCUCCAGCUCUGCAUCCCAGCCUGGCUGCAGCCACCUGGCUCUCCUCCCCUGCACACCGGGCUUACUGCUGAUGCACGUUCCUUUCCUGCAGGUGAGGGCUCCGUCCCAGUCCCACUCAGGGCAGCACCGUGCUGGGGUGCUGGGCUCCCUCUGAGGAGGGAAAUGGGGCUCUUAAAGCUUCCCUAAAGGCCUGCAGGGAUCUCUGCUUUGACA
ensembl:lncRNA